UUCCUAUGCAUAUACUUCUUUGAAAUGUGGUUCUAAAGAGGCAUAAGGCAUGGGAAAA
rnacentral:pre_miRNA from 1 species